UUCAUUUUUCCUUUCCUUCGCCUGCCUGUCCGUUUAUUUUUCAGUAGAUUUCGAGAACUCCAGGGGAAAAUAAGAACCCUCUGUUUUGUCUUCACAAAAUCAUCUGUUUUUCCUCCUCCACCAAAACCAGUGAAACACAAACUAGAUCUCCAUAAGUUUCAUCUUCCCCCAUACAAACCACCACCGGCAACACCAUCGCCACGAAAAACACCACCACCACCACUUCCUUAGUCUCUUCUUCUUCUCCAAAUUGUUGGUGUUUGUGCAAUGUUUCCCGAAAUUUGGUUCCCUAAUCUGAUUGGAACAUCAACUCUCCCAACAAUUUCUACAAUUCAUGCCCUAAAUCUACUUUACUUUUUUCUUCUGGCAUUGUCACCACCACCCUCGUUCUCCACCACCACUAAUAACAAGCAACGCCGUUACAGACAACUGGAAUUGAAACAAAAAAUUGGUAUGAACUGAAAUUGGGAUUUGUCGAAAUUGGUCUUCUCACCAACUUCGAUUCGAUUUAAAUUCAUACUAAUUUCGUUUUCAUACAGCAGAUACACCUCAAGAUUUCAAAGGAACACGAUGAAUUUUCAAAGAUAUUGGUACUGAUUUGUAGCCUGACUAACUUCUACUGUAUAGGUAUUGGGUAGGACAAUUGACUUAAGCUCCAUUGAUUUAAGGUAGCUUACCACAUUACAGAUGGUCUCUUCACAAGGUUGUGGUUCAAAUUAUCAUCCACGUCGGAGCCCAAGGCUAAUUCAGCCAGCUCAACUUGAAGAGCUAACCGAGAGAAAACCAUUAUUGCAUCUCUCACAGGGUUAUAAUAACCAGUCGUAUGGUUGGGGCAGAUGUGAUGGGUGUUCUAGCAUCUCUACCAAGUCUGCACUAAAUGAAGCGAGCCACAGUCACCGGUGCGCAUAAUGCGUGACUCUCCAGUACCGCAAGUUUGACUAAAUUGGCAUGAGACUAGCCGCAGAUGUUAUAAAAAUGAAGGGAAAGGGGAAGGGUGCUCUUGGCAGGAAAGCCAUUAAUUUGGAUUCAGGUAUUUAGUUACUAAACACCUCUAUCCCAUUACACAUUUAAGUGCAUUUCUUCUAUUAUAAAAUCCCAAAGUUACUUUAUUGGUCUGUCCUUAUGAAUUGUUCUUUUUUCCUUUUCAUGAAGCUUAGUUGACAAAAGAAUGCUUCGAAGAGCCAGUGGUUUCACAUAUCACUAAACCCAUCUUUUGCCAAUUUAGUUCGUAGAUUUAUACUUAAUACAUAAAGAUUAUAAAAAAGUUAUUCUUUUGACAAAAGAAUCCACCAAUAUAUGUUAAAAUUCUCUUAGUCUUGGAUUUAAGGUUCAAAGCAUCUAUAUUGGCUGUUUGUGGUUAUUAAUUACGCACCAAUAGUUUGCAUUGGUUCUUUAUGUGUGUUUGUUAACUAUGUACCAGAUGAUGAUUGAUGAAAUUUAUUUAUCCUGCACCUAUUAUUGUUUCAGUA